UCAUUUUUUUCAUUGCAGUAUUUAUGGGGAUCCUUGUGAGUGUUUGCACCAUAGAGAAAAAAGUAUUUGACUAAGCAUUAACCAUUCCAGCUAAGAGAUCAGUGUUUGUCAUUCAAAAUAGCUGAGGUGGUUGGGAGAGGACAGCCAGUAUUCCCCAAAAGAGGUUUAUUAGUUUCCUAGGCUGCUGUCACAAAUUGACACAGACUUAGUGACUUAAAACAACAGAAAUGUAUUCGCUUACAGCUUGGGAGACCAGAAAUCCAAGGUGAGUUUCCCUGGGUUAAAGUGAAGGUGUUGGCCCGGCUGGUUCCUUCUGGAGGCUCCGAUGGAGACUGUUCUUUGCUUUUUCAGCCUCUGGUUGCUGCUGGCAUUCCUUCGUUUGUGUUUGUGUCACUACAUUCUCUGCUUCUCUGGCACAUGGACUCUUCUUCUGCAUCCAGUUUUCCUCUGUCUUCCUCUCAUAAGCAUGCGUGUGGUAGCAUUUAGCGUCCACCCAGGCAAUCUAGAUUAAUCUCUCACCUCAAGCUCCUUAACUGAAUCACAUCUGC
rnacentral:lncRNA from 1 species